ACAUUUUCUUGAUUUUUCAGUCGACACAAAGUACAUCUAUUGUUCAUGCCACAUUCGGGAUGCAGUUAGUUUAUGUGACAUGUAGAAAUUUUUAUGACUUGGCCUCUUCCUGCUUGUAGAUAUAUUACCACUUCUUAUUUGAUAUGUUAGUUGUAGUUGGAAAUGGCCAAGGUAGACAUGAUGUAAUAUUGUUUUCUCCAUUUGUCAAGCAGCCUGACCUUAUGCUGUUCUUAAAAGCUCUGUUCUUUCUCCAGCCAGGUGUGCCUAUAUCAAAUCUUGUUUCAAGCUGGCUAUUGAGUUGCAAAGAGUUAAUUUGCACGGAACAGUCAAGUGGGACAAGCUUAUCCGUGUGUGUCACCAAGAUGUUUUUAUGAGAUAGCCGAGGAGGAAAUGUUUGUUUGAUCUCUGCAUAGAGCAUGCUCUCAUGAAGUAUAAGGGCAUGCUAGUGUUGGAAGCUUCUGACUUGAAAUAUCAAGGGCUUUGCAAGUGCGCCGAUUGGUGAUAGAUGAUUAAUGAAAAACUAGAUUCCAAUAGUUCAUAACUUCUCUCCGCGCUUGUUCCCUCUUUAGCUGUACGAAGUCCAUAUUCUUAUUUAUUUGUUCUAGUGCCGAUUUUUGGUGGUUGCAAAUACAGUUUUUCUUGAAGAGGUUUAGUAUGGCUAGUCCCACAGUCCAUGUGAUCAGCUUUUAGCUCCUUUUAUUAUUCUUUUGUGCAUUAGACUCUUCUUUUAGUGGCAUGUGAAUCAUGGUAGUUCUGUAUUGACUGUGUAAUGAUAUGGCUUCUCUAUGUUUCUCUGCCUUUCUAAUCUGAUGUUAGAGGAUGGAUAAUACAUUUACUUGACUGAUGGUAUUUGAUCAGUUAACAGGCCAUCAACACAUCUGCAUCAAGAUUCACUCAGGAUUAAACAAACAAAGCAUAUUCAUGUAUUACUGUAGUAAAACCAGAAACAAUUUAUCUACCGUACAAAGGUAGGGGUAAGGUUUGCGUAGAUUCUAGCCUCUUCAGACUUCACUUGUGAGAUGUUGUUUUACUAUAGUAAAACUGCAUUGGCAUCGUAAGGAGGCUGAAGUAUCAAGAGAUCCAAGUUUAAACUUUGAAUUAUAAUGAGAAUAUCCCAUACAAAGAAGAGAGGAGAGAUUAUGUUUUGAAGCUUGCAAAUUAAGGUUAAGGUUGAGCUUUAUCACAUGUCGAGGAAAACUGGAUGGUUAAAUUUGGCUAACAUAUCAAUUAGCCAAAUAACAUAGAAGAAAAUGUCAUAGCAUAACCAAUAACUAAUAUUCCCACUGUUCUAAAUUUAUGUAACAUAGUUCAUUGAAGCACUAAGUUAUCUAAAAAGCAUUUUAAAAUUUGCAAUCUAAAAUGUGUGUGAUAUUUGUGGGAUAAUAAAUUAUCUCGUAAAAGUAAACUAAGAGUUUUAGUUAAUUUAUUUGUAAAUAUGGAAAGACAAUAUUAACAAACUAAAAAAUAGUGUAUUGAGGUAAACAAGAUUUUAAUUAAAUAUAGAUAAGAUUCAAAAAACAUAUUAGUAGUAAACAGCUGACUAAUCAUCAUCUUAUUGAUCCAUAUGUCAAGUUAAUGUCAAUAUAAUUAGUCGAAUUAUUAGUGUAUUGAGACAAAAAAGGUUUGUAAUUAAAUAUAGAUAAGAUAUACAAAACAUAUUAAUAGUAAGCAGCUGACUAAUCAUCUUAUUGGUCCGUAUGUCAAGUUACUGUGUCAUUAUAAUUAGUCGAGUUACUCGCAUGCUUAGCGGACUUAGUUGAUUGACUCUGGAAACGGAGACGUCACAAAACCCAAAAAAAAUCCACGCAACAUCUGUUACUUACUCUUUAGUCAAACAAAGAAAGACAAAAAUAAGCAGCACAAACUCCCCUCUUUUUUCAAAAAACCCUACUUCGCCGACGCUAUCUUGUCGGAGACGGAGACAGUUACUGGCCGGCGGCUGUGUUAAACAAUAUGAAAGUCGUUGCUUUAGUCAGUGGCGGCAAGGACAGUUGCUAUGCCAUGAUGAAAUGCAUUCAAUAUGGUCACGAGGUUCUCAAUUUUUGUCUCUUUGCCUAAGUGUUUGAUGAUUUUGUCGCUUGUUAUUGUGCUCUUAUUCUGGCAAUUUUCAGAUUGUUGCGUUGGCUAAUUUGAUUCCCGCUGAUGAUGCAACCGAUGAGCUUGAUAGCUACAUGUAUCAAACAGUGAGUUUUUUUUUCUCUUUAAAUGCUGAAAAAGCAUAUGGUGACACUUUUGUAAGCAGGAGCGGAGCUAGCCUUUGGUUAUGAGUUCGGCCAAAGCUAGUAACUUUGGUUCAAACCUUGAAUUUAUAUUAAAAUUUUCAUUGAAAAUGUACAAAUUAUUACUCCCACUUUCAGUUUGUUUGUCUUAAUUUCCUCCAUUUAAAAAAGUAUAUCUCUUUCCUUUUAUUUGGGCAACUCUUUAAUUCUAACUUUGCCUGCAGCAUGUUUUAAGACCACAAGGUUAAAGAGUGUUUUGGUACAUUCUACCCGUCUUUUGCUUAAAACCACAAGAUUCUAAAGUCUAUUUACUUUCUUAAACUUUAUGCACAAAUUAAAACGGAGGGAGUAAUUUAGAACCUUGUAACUUAAGGAUUAGAAUCCUGAACGCAUAAACUUCAAAUUUUGUCUCUGCCUCUGCUUUUUAAGUCCCAACAUACGAAUUCCCUAUAUGCAUAACAUUCAGAGGGUCUGUCAUAGUUGGAUUAUUUUAUUGAAGAGGUGUUGAAUUAGAGAAGUUCAUUAUAUAUGUAUGUGAAAAUGGAACUAAUGCUUAAGGGAACAUUCUUCUUGCAAAACUCAAUCUGAUUGAAGCUUAUCAAAUGAAAAAAAAUGAUCUUUUGGUUAGUUAUAAGCUGCUUUUUUAUCUUCCAUGAUAAUGGUGGUGUCUAUGCUGUCUUGCGCACCUUGAGGUUGUAAGCUGCAUCAGAAACUUUCUAUAAUGUAUCUGCUGGAAAAUGUCUUUAUGUAUUUUUCUCCUAAGACAGUUGUGACUUGUGAGAAAAUCAAUGUUAUGAUUGUUGGGCUUGUAAGGCGACGACAUCCACAGAGAGAAUGUUGUAGAAGUUCCAAUAUUAAGAUGGAUGUGCAGUCAUACAUGCUUGAUAAGAAAUAAAUGAUCACAUUCAAUAGAGGGUAAAAGUUGUAUAUCUGGAGGAUAAAAUGAGAGAAUGUCCCCUUAAUGGGUUGUCAAUUGGCAGCAAUAGAUGAGAUUGAAUCAAUCAGAAGGUUCACCCCUCACCCGGGUGGAUUGGGGAGUUGAGACUUCCUUGCUCUUUUUCUUUGAGAAAGUUAACAUUUUAUAGACAACAAUACACCAAUGGUUUAUUUCAGUAGUAAUUACAUCAGGAGUAUACAGUAAGCAAAACCAAAAGAUCUAUCAUAUAUACCCCUCCUAAACUAUCUAAAAAGUGAGUAAUAGCCUCCACCUCUUUGGGAAGGACAUGGUUACACAAAAAAUAGAGGGUUAUAAGGCAGUUCAACUUCAAACUCUUGAAAGGGAUGCUCUUGUUUUCGAAGCUACUCUGGUUCCUUUCCUUCUAAAUUGUCCACCAGAUGCAAGCAAGGACAAUCUUUCAUCUUUCCUUGUGACCUGAUGUAUUCCUUUCUCUAUUCCAGCAUGAUUUUCUGGGGUGUGUCUUGGCAUGGACCAACUGAUUCCCCUCAAAUUCAAAAAGUCCUGCCAUAGUUUCUCUGUCACUCUGCAAUGGAGGAAGAGAUGUUUUGUUGUCUCUGUUUCUCUUUCACAAAAAAAGCACCUGGAGCAGAACUGUCUUCCCCUUUUCAUUUGAUUGUACGGAGUUAGUACUGCUUCCCUAGCUACCAACUAGGUGAAACAAGCCACCUUGUGAGGUACAUUAAUUUUCGAUAUCAUCUUCCAAGGCCAUGGUAGAAGCAUUUCAGCUGGCCUGUCAAGAUGUCUAUAAGCUGAUUUUAUUGUGAACUUCCCAUUGUUGGCCCUCAACCAUUGUAAACUAUCCUCAUUUGUGUCAAGGUUGUUUGCCUACUCUAAGGACUUGUAGAAAUCUGCUAAUUUGUCUAUUUCCCAGUCAUUCAACCUUCUCCUAAAAGAUAGGUUCCAUCCUUGGUUGUCUCCGACUUCUGCUACUGUUGCUUCCUUCUGUUGGUUCAGAUUAUAAAUCUCAGGAUGCAACUGUUUCAGGGAGUGUUGUCCAACCCACACAUCAUUCCAGAAGAAUGUCUUCCUUCCAUUUCCUAUAUCAAUUUUUGAAUUUCCCCAUAUUUUAGACCAUAAAUUCCUGAUUGUUCUCCAUAAACCAACCCCAUAAGGGUUUUAUCUUCCUCAGUAACCCAUAAGUCCUCCAUUACAAAUCUGGAGAUUAUAACAUCUUUCCACAGACCUUGUUCUACAGAAGCAAACCUUCACAAUCACUUCAAGAGGAGACUCUGGUUUUGAACUUUGAGAUUUUUUAUGCCCAUUCCCCCUUCUUUUUUUGUUGUUUAACACCUCAUCCCAUUUCACCAAGUGAUAUUUCUUUUCCCCCUCCAUUUUCUUGCCAUAAAAAGUUUCUCCUAAUGGAUUCUAACAUCUUUAAAACACUCCCUGACAUAGGGAAUACUGAUAUCAUGUAGGUUGGCAUAGCAUCAAGCACACUAUUAAUUAGUGUCAAUCUUCCACCCAAGGAUAGGUAUUGGCUUCUCCAAUUUACCGGCAUUUUUUCACACUUCUCCACCACUGUAUUCCAUAUAUUCUUUGGUUUACUGUUUUCUCCUAGAGGCAUCCCUAGGUAAGUGGUAGGCAUUUCUCCCACUUUACCUCUAAGAGGCCAGCUAGUCUGUUGAUUUCUGGGACUUCAUUCACGGGGUAGACAAUUUUUUUUCCCCAGUUUAUAUGUAUUCCUGAGACAGCUUCAAACAAUAUAAAUAUGAUCCUUAGAUGCUUUAGUUGUUCUUCCUCUGCACCAUAGAACACUAGGGUGUCAUCAUCAUACUGCAAAUGGGAGAUAGAUAAGCCCCUGGUGUCACUAUCAUUCAUCAAGAACCCUCUGAUCAUGUUAUUUGAUUGUGCUGUUUUCAACAUGCCACUUAGUCCUCCCAUAGCUAGGAUAAAAAGGAAGGGGGAGAGGGGAUCCCCUUGCCUUAAUCUUCUUUCUGAGGGAAAGAAACCAGAGGGGAAUCAUUUAAUAAAACUGAGAAUUUGACUGUUCUCUCACAGUACUUCAGCCAAUUUAUCCACCUAUUUUUAAAACCCAUCCUAUCCAGUGUGUACCACAUAAAGUCCCAGUUGAGGUGAUCAUAGGCCUUUUCUAUGUCCAACUUACAUAGAAUUCCAGGAACUUUAGUUAUUUUCCUCACAUCUACACAUUCAUUGGCUAUAAUAUGACAUCCAUGAUAUGCCUACCCUUAAUGAAUGCCAAUUGAUGCGUAUCCACCAGCUUUGACAUCACUUUCUUGAGACUUCCUUGCUCUUAGGCUUGUUGUAAGGCCAAUAAGAUCAGGAAGAAGGGGAUUUGGUUCUUCCUUUUCUUCGAACUGACUCUAAAGUCUAAUCAUGAUUUUGACUCUAGUAUGAUACCUCCCUCUGUCGCUAUAGAAAUCGAGAAUGGAGGUGACUUUGCUACACUUGCUUAUAGUUGGAAAUUCCAACUCGAAGGCCCUAGUACUACUGACUUUGUCCAUGUCCUAUAUAAACCUCUAGAUGCAUUGGGUUAUUGAUGCCAUCAUUGAUGAUUGAAGAUUCUAAAAGGAAUGAGUGUACACCUAAAGUCACAGAGAGGCAAGUUGUUUCAGAAUACAAAUAUCUCAGAAUCAGUGUGGACCUAACUAAAAGCAAAAUGCAGGUGAAGUAAAUUAUCUCUAUAGACGAUAAUAAUAGUUGAGUUGGUCAGUGUAACACUUACAGCAUGCGUAGUGUUUUUCAGGAUUCCUUUUUAUCCUGGUUAGACUUGUAUGUUUCUGUUGCAGUAGUAUGAGACUGACAUAGAGAAUCCAACAUUUGCAUAAAAGACAAAUUAGUUAGUAUUGGAAUGAUAGAACCUGAAUGCCGAGAAUUCAUAUAGCCACACCUGAACUAAUUUCAGGUUGAGUUAUAGUUAAAUGAUCCUCUUUCUAGCAUCUUGAUGUCUCCCAUCUACUAGUGGAAAUUUCCUUUCUUAUUUACAAGAAUUCUGAUCAUAAGUUUUGUUAAUAAGAAAGAUAAGCGAUAUUCUCCUCCUCUCCUUAAUACCAUGUUUUCAUUUAAAAUGUUCGGUAACUGUAUCUGCAGGUUGGGCACCAGAUAGUUGUUAGUUAUGCUAAAUGCAUGGGACUCCCAUUAUUCCGGAGGCGAAUUCAAGGAUCCACAAGGCAAGCCCUUUUGCAGUCAAUUGCCUAAGUUUGAAAAUUUUAUUACUGGGUGCUUAUUAAAGAACUGGAGAGGUGACAUUUAUUAUUUGUUGUUGAAGGAUAGAGAUGUGAAGUUGUUAUAUAUAUAUAUAUAUUUAGUGAGAGAGAGAGAUAGAGGAUGGGAAAAUGAUGUUUCCAUAAUACUUCUACCUGAAUAAUCUCUGUAAAAUGUUUGUAUUAAUGUAAUUGUUAACUUGCAUAUGCCAAAGAUAAAGAAGUAGCUUCAUGCCUACAGCACAAUUUUUUUAUUUAUAAUGUUCUAUUUAUAACUUUUCUAGUUGGAUUUCGCAGGCAUCAUGACCUAAGCUACAGUAUGACUCCGGGUGAUGAAGUUGAAGAUAUGUUUAUAUUGUUGAAAGAAGUAAAAAGACAGAUACCCUCUGUUACAGCAGUUUCUUCUGGUGCAAUUGCAUCUGACUACCAGAGAUUACGAGUGGAAAGUGUAUGUUCAAGGUUAGGGCUCGUUUCAUUGGCGUACCUAUGGAAGCAAGAUCAAUCUUUUCUUCUGCAGGAAAUGGUAAAUUUGUGUUAGAAAUAGAGAAAACAUUAAUUGCUAUUAUAACUUUAUUCUAAAGUUUUCUUCUUUUCUUUUGUCCCUCCACUCCCAUGGCAGAUAAGAAAUGGAAUUAUUGCAAUAGCAGUGAAGGUAGGAAUCUGUGAGGUCUUUUUAUUUGAGAUUUCACAUGUAAACAUUAUACAUGUGGGAUUCGUGAUUUGGUCACUCUAUAUGAAAUCAAUUGAUGACGUGAGAACCCCUCAAAACACUAAACCCUAUACUUCUGAAUCUUUUCAGGUUGCUGCUAUUGGACUGAACCCCUCAAAACACUUGGGAAAAGAGAUAGCAUACCUGGAGCCCCAUCUCCACAAGCUAAAAGAGUAUGAUAUGGUUAGCAAAAUUUUUGGCUUUGUUUUACUUCACUUUUUUCGCAUUUUUAUGUCUCUUUUUGGCAGGUUAUAUGGAAUAAAUGUCUGUGGUGAAGGUGGAGAAUAUGAAACAUUAACGCUUGAUUGCCCUCUAUUUAAGGCAAGUGUUCCAUCUUUCUCUCCUUUCGGAUGGUCUGCAUAGAGAAUAUAUGGUUGUACUAUGUGGUCUCAAAAAGAAAGAUAGCUUAACUACUACUUCUGUGAUAAAGUAUUACCAAGCACCUUUGGAGAAUAUUUAUCAAUCUGAUCGAUGAUUUUUGUUUAUGUUGCAUUUUCAAAAAAUGCAUUUAUUUUUGCAUUUUUUGUUGGGAUUUUAAUUAUUUUCUAAAUUUUGGUGGGAAAAAUUUGAGUGUAGUCCUCUAAAUGGAUUUAGUAAAGCUCAUUGUGACCUUCAAAAGUCAAAUGAAGCAAAAAGAUGCGAGACAUGGAAUGAAAUUUGGUGCUUUAAAAUUACGUACGUCUUCUUUCUUUAUCAUGUUUAAUUUUUCAACUCUCCCAGCUUUCUGAUUGAAAGCUAAAAUUGACAUUCAAAGUCAACUGAAGCAAAAAUGAUGUGACGUUGAGUAUGAAUUUAGUGCUUAAAAGUUACAUCCCUCUUUUUCUAUCACUCGUCUAAUGUUUCAACUCUCCCAGAAUGCUCGAAUUGUGCUGGAUGAAUUUCAAAUCGUCUUGCAUUCUCCAGAUACCAUAGCCCCUGUUGGCAUCCUCCACCCCCUGGCAUUCCAUCUGGAAAAUAAGGUAGAGUCAAUAUCUUCAAAUGGUAUUGACGAAGCCAGCAAUUUGGAUACAGUAUUUGAAGUGGAAGGAGAUGUCCAACAAGAAGGUGAAGCUGCUAGUGAAUUUGUUGCUAUAAGGUCUGAGCGGUCAGGUGUUACUAAACAGGAGCUCAAAGUUUCUAAAACAAUGAAGGAUAAUGUCUUUUCUAUUUCUUGCUGGCUCCAAGACUCCAGUAAAAAUUCAUCAGGUAAAACAUUGAAGUUACUGUAGAAGGUUAAUGUUAUAAGUGGAAUCAUAUUGGAUAUACUGCUAUUUGUUAAAUUUUCUCUAUGAUCUCGUUCCUCUUUCGUGUCUCUUUUGGAUCUCUCUUGUUUUCAAUGCUUUUAGCCUUGUUAUUGCCAGAUCUGCAGGAGGAUCUGGAGGUUAUUCUAAUGAGAAUUGAAGCUCUGCUCAUGGAAAAUGGUUCCUCUUGGGAAAAUGUACUGUAUAUCCAUCUUUAUAUUGCUGAUAUGGAUGAGUUUGCCGUAGCAAAUGAGACCUAUGUCAGAUUUAUUACUCAAGAGAAGUGUCGUUAUGGUGUACCAUCACGGUCCACCAUUGAGCUCCCUCUAUUGCUAGUUGGUUUAGGGAGGGCAUAUAUUGAAGUUUUAGUGGCAAAUGAUCCUACUAAAAAGGUCUUGCAUGUACAAAGUAUUUCUUGCUGGGCUCCUAGCUGUAUUGGUCCAUACAGUCAGGUACUGAUCUUCUUAAAUAGUGAACCAUUCAUAUUGUUCUGGGACCAGCACGAUUAUCGUUUUCAAUCUGUCUUUCUUUUGAUUUGAAUAUGAAGCAUAUAAUUAACUAGAUAUUUCUAUCUUCUGUUACUAUCAGGAGAAUAAUCAUCUUGAAAAUUUGCUUCUCAUUUAUUUACCAAAUCAUUAUGUUGCAGGCAACUUUGCACAAUGAGAUACUACACAUGGCAGGACAGCUGGGGCUUGACCCAGCAACUAUGUUGCUCUGUGAAGGAGGUCCUGUUGCGGAACUUGAACAGGCACUGGAAAACAGUGAAGCAGUUGCUAGAAGCUUUAAUUGUUCAAUAUCUACGUCAGCCAUGGUUUUUGUGAUAUAUUGUUCAGAAUCUGUAGAAAAAUCAGAAAGAAUUAUUGUCCAAAAGAAAACAGAAACACUUCUUAAGCAAAUGAAGUCGAACCAUGCUGAUGGCACAAAGAAGUCCAAAGUCCUAGAUCCAAUUUUCCUAUAUGUUCUUGUUCCUGAUCUGCCGAAAAGGUAAUUUGUGUCAGCGGUGCUCCAUUGACCACAGUAUAAAUGACACUCUAAUAUUUGUUCCUCCAAGAACUGUUAUGUGAAUAGUUAGCUGUAGUUUAAUCGGAUAUCUGCUAUCGUCAUUUUAAUUCCCUUUGUAUUUGUGUUUCUUGUUAUGCCAUAUGUUGUCUAUCUCCAGUCAGUAUGACAUGAGAAUAAAAUGGGCCUAUUAUUUAUCUGUCUUUCUCGUAAAAUAAAUUAAUUGAGUGCACUUCCUCUAUGUAGAGCUCUGGUUGAGGUAAAGCCUAUGUUUUACACGGGAGAGUAUUUGUCGGGUCCAAGUGACUUAACCAAGCAAUCACAAUCCACAGAACAAGAUUAUUGCGGGCAUGACAUUAGCCUUCAGAAAUGUGUUGCUUACGGCAAAAUAUGCACAGUAAUUCUUUCAGUUACUGAAGGGCUUGCAGCAAAAAUUUGCUCCCUCGCUAGUGUUGCAUGUCCUGCCAAUGUUAUGUCCAAAGGUCUUGUUGAAAAGGAACAAGUCAUAUUGAUCGCAAGAUUUUGCAUUUCUCGUCUCGAUAAAGUCCUUUCGGAGAAUAAUUUCUCUUGGGACGACAUAAUGGUUAGUUUCUUUUUCCUGGCCCAACUAUUUUAUUUCACAAAUUUUCCUGGAGUGAUAUCCCACUUCUCCUUAUAAAUCUGUGCAAGGUUUCCUUGAUUAAAUAGCUAAAUAUAUUACUUUCACUUUAAAAAAAGAGAGACUAAGGAGUCUUUUCUUGACCUUAUUAUGCAAUAUGGAUAGAAUUGUUUGUAGUUGAUGAACUAGAUAAGUGAAAUUGGAGUGGCUGCGGCGGAGUAUAUCUUUUUUUUUUUCAGGGUUAGGAGGUUGAAGAGUAAUAUCCGGGAAGAUCUUCAAUAGCUAGUCACUCUUUGCAUUAGACAUGUUAUUGAAAAUAUGGGGAAGUUCUCUGUAGAUGCCUACACGGAUUUUUUUCGAAAAGAGAUUAUGCGUUGAGCACAUUAUAGCUAUUACUAUGAGUAAUUAGCUGUCUAAGCUGAAGGUGCUGAAAGGAUGAGAACGUGGUAGAAAAAAGUAAACAGUGGAAAAAUAACUCUCUUUUCCUUCCAAUCCAUUGAAAUAAAACUGUUUGAAAGGCUUGGUUACUUCUCAGUAGGGGUGGUAGAAUGGGUAAUUUAUAUGGGUAUCCACUCAUAUUUACCCAUUUUAAAUGGGUUGGGUACCCAACACAUUUAAAAUAUGAGUCGAUUCGAGUAAUUUAUCCAUUUUUGUUUAACUCGUUUUCGAUAGACUCAUAUUCGACUUAACUCGCUUGUUUGCCACUCCUACUUCUCAGUAAUGGUAGGGAGGAAUUGACAAAGAUUGAGCCACUAAAGCUGGGGAUUUUUCUCUUAUAGUCUGCACUUUAAAAGCCCUCAUUUUCUUGCUUUGCUAAUCUUUUUCCUAGAUGAAGUAUUCUAGUCCUCUUAACACCUUCUCUCCUUUUUUGCAGAAUUUCCGGCUCUACUUUGCGAGCAAUCUUAAUUUCUCUCAUGGAACAUUGUCUGAAAUCUUCUCUGAUGUGUUCAAUGAACUUGUUCAGAUGAGUCGGAGAAAUAAAGUAGACGCUGAGCCUAUUUUAAAUAUAGUUCCUGUCUUGGGUGCCGGGCGUUCUUUAUCGACCUUGGAUGAUAUAUUCACAUGUGAACUCAUUGCUAGCAAAUGUUAGUUCUCAUUUAAAUUGGGGAAUGAUAUAUUAUAUGUUUCAAUUCAGAAAAAGAGAGUUUUGAACUUGACAAAAUUCUUAUUAUGUUUUUGCCAUACCCAAUUGUUACAAUUUACACUUAACUUCACACGAAAUGAAUAUAUGAGUGUUUCAACUCGAAUUGAAGAGAUGGUGACUUUUGACUGUUCCUUGAUGGGAAGAUUUCAGACUUGGAAGAAAUGUUCUAAUUGCUUUCAGUUCUAGUGCUCAAUUUUUUAAGUCAUUUGGUUUGAAGGAAAAUUUUUACGCCAAGCGUUUGCUGAUGGAGUUGAAUGGAAAAACCUUAGCCCCGCAGUCGGUGAUUUAUGAAAAUGUGUAUUUAAUUAACUAUAGUUUAAUGAUAGGAGCGUAUGUGCAGACAUGUAUCAUGUAUUUACUGGAUUGGUAUAAACACUUUGUGCAGGUAAGGUUUUAUCGAGUUGAAUUAUGCAUCUGCUGCAAGUAGAAGCUAGGUGGUGUAGUGGCUCCUUUUUAAAUUGGUUUUAGUACUUUGAAGUAGGAGUGUUCAUGGUUUGGUUAAAAGUUGAUCCAACCAAUUAAAUACAAAUACAUCACGGUUUGGCUGGGCUGGCCUCCGAUAUCAUAUUGAAUAAGAGAGAUAAGAGUUGAAGCUUGUUUGUACUUAGUAGUAAUUUUGAUUAUUUCUUGUGUCCAUGGUUUAAUGUAUUUAUAUUCAAAACAAUGAACAAAGUAAUAUAGUCAUACAAAGUACUACAAUCUUAAGUCUAUCCAACUUCAAUCUAGACGCUUUGUAGGAUUUUAGAAUUACGGGUGCACCAUAGGUAAAGGAUUUUUGAACAAAAAGCGUAACGGAAAUGAUUUAAAAUUUUGAAAUUCUCUUCGAAUUCCAAAUCAACAUGUUAGUAUAAAUACAUUCCUAGAAAUUCAUUAAAAUUGUUAUAUCUAAAUUUAACACUCUACUCUUUUACGCUAGCAUGAAUCCAAAAUUUCAAUGGAGAUAUCGGACACGUAAAAUAAAUAAAGAUAUCGAACAGUUAAAAAGAAAAAUAAAAUAAUAUAUAUUGAGUAAUAUCAAAUUAUUUGGGGUAGAGUACAUGUCCUGAAUUUGGGGUUGCAGUGUUGUGUUUGUCAUAGGGCAUACAAAAGCUUUCUCUUUUCUUUUUGAGUGAUUUACAAAAAUAACUAUUAUUAUGCAAUUUAAUAAUGCUCAUAAUGCUUAUUCUGAUUUAAGCUCUAAAGCAUGUAAAAGUUAGAUGGCAUUUCCUUGAUGCUAUACUUGAAAUUGCUUAUGCAUAUAUAAAGCUUAUUACUAUGCAAUUUAAUGCUCAUAAUGCUUAUCCUGAUUUAAAACUUAAUGAUAAUUAUUGAACUGAAGUAAAUGAACUUAGAAUGUUUUUUAAAUCAUUUUAUGAUGCUACUAAAAAAAAUUCUAAAAUGAAUUAUUCUACUAUUACUGAAAUUUUAAUACAUGUAUAUGAGAUUUCAUCUUCUUUUUUGUCUAAAUAUAAAACAAAUGGAUUAUUUACAAAUGCUAUUGAAGCUAUGAUUAUAAAAUUUAAGAAAAUAUUUUUUUCAUAUCCCUCAAAUUAUUUAACUAUAAUUAUUUUCAACCCCUGGAUAUAAAGAAUAUGGUGCAAAAGCUUUAGUUGAAUGCAUUUAUCAAAAUUUAGAUAUUCAAUCACACAAAACCUGAUUUGGUAACAUGUCAAAAUAGCAUCAAAUUACUUGCUAAAGAAAUGUAUGAUAAAUAUUGUUCCUAAUACAAUGUUGAAAAUCCUCAAACUUCUAUACCUCGAGUAAGUGCCCAUGAUAGAAUGAAACAUAAACUUGAUCUUGAUUCUUCUAAUAAAUAUGAAUUUGUUAAAUAUCUUGAACAUAUGGUUCAAAUAAUAUUACAAACGAGGAAGGUAUGCCACAACUAUUGACCUGGUGGAGGGCUCGUGGAACUCAAUUUCCAAAAGUUAGUAGGAUGGUGAGGGAUGUGCUUGCAAUUCAAGGAUCAUCAGAAGCUUUGGAGGCAGCUUUCAGCGCAGCAAAAUUUCAAAUUGGAGACCACAAAUAUUCGUUAGCAGAAGACAGUUUGGAGAUAACGGUGUUGUUUAGAGAUUGGAUAAAUGCCGAGCGAAGAAAUCAAGAACUUCCAAAGUUAGAUAAUCAAUAUGAACUUUUCUUAGAUUCAGCCAUUGGAUGUGAUAGUGACGAUGGCAUGGACUUCUAGAUCAUCAACAAGCUUUACCAAGACCAGAAGUUGAUAACGGUCAAUCUUUAGCUAAGUUAAAGAAAAGCUUUUUAGGACUAUACAAUUAUUAGUGUUACAUUCGAGGCUUAGUUGAAAUAAAAUCCUUCUUAGAAGGUGGCUGCAUAAAUUAGACACUCUACUAAUAGUUGUAAUUGUAAUACAAAUUUGAAUAAAUUGGAUUGAUUUUUAAAUUUUUGUCAUUGUUUUAUACUUUUAUUAGCAUUUCUUUUUUGUUUAUUGUUUUUUUUUAAAUUACAAACUUAAUUCAUCAACUUCAAAUAAUAUAAAUUUAAUUAAAUAAAAGAUUUAUCAAACUUAAGUUACUUAAAUUACAAGUCAUAACUUAACUUAAAAAAAUUCAACUCUUAAAAACUUAUAACAUAAAUUUAAAAACAUAGAAAAAAUAACUUUAAUAAAACUUAACUUACAAACUUAGUAUAAAUUGAAAAAGUUUAGAAAAAGUAUCUUUAAAAUUGACUUAUAUUGAAAAACUUAGAAAAUAAAAUACGAUAAACUUAAAUCUUAACUUCCUUAAAUCCUGGUAUGCUUUUUACCGUCAUUAAUUUAUGCUUAUAUUAUUAAUUGUUGUUUUUAAGUACAUGAUUUAAGCUUUGUUGUUUAUGUUUUUGCAAAGUUAUUGUUAUAAGUAUUUGUUAGUACAGAUUAAAUAACAAAAGUUAAUUGAGUAUUCAGACAAGUUUUCUCUACUAGAAUUGUUGAAGGUACAAUAAAAAAAAUCCCUUACAAAUCUCUAAUUUCUUCACCAACAACGUCAUUCCUUCACAUACAAGAAUGAGAUUUUUUAUUUUUUUAAAAAUCAUCUGAGAUUUAAUAACUUUGCAUGCCCAUAUUUUUGGUUUUUAUAUUGUAAGUUAUCUAUUUUUACUAAAUUUUAUCAGUGAAUAUUAUGAGUACUUUAAGGAUUAAAAGUUGAUUGAAGUGUUAGUCAAAUUUUUGAGGUUUGUUAUUUCAAAACAUAGGAAGUUUUCUGGUUAGAAUGAUUUGUUAUCAUCGUUGGAUAUCUCAAAGUUUACUCCCUUUGAUGCAUGCUUUUUCUCAUUGUUUUGUUGUCUCCUUAAAAUUGUAAUGACUAUUUUUCGUUUGGUAUGUAUAUGAUCUCAUUUGGACAAAGCUUUCGUCCUUCUAAAGUUUUUUCUUUUUUUCCUUCUCAUUUGACUCUUCUAAAUAUUUUUGGUGUGAGUAAUGACUAUUUUCGGCAAGCUUAAUUUGAAGAAUAUGAAACAAAACCUACCAUAAAUAAAAGUAAUAUCUUAAGCUACAAAAGAUAUGUCUAUUAACAUAGAUUUGUUGUCCUUCAUGUCCCAAAUCAUUGUUGAGCGUUUGAGUUAUCUAGGUUAGACUCAUUUUUAAUCUUUUCAUGUUUGAGAAUAUUUUUUCAACAUGAGUCUAGAAUCCAACAUUUUGAUUUACUUGUACUUUUAUAAUGCAACAAUUAUACGUACAUAUUUCUGAAAAA
rnacentral:lncRNA from 1 species